rnacentral:rRNA from 1 species
GUGCCAGCCGCGGCGGUAAUACGUAGGUGGCAAGCGUUGUCCGGAUUUAUUGGGCGUAAAGCGAGCGCAGGCGGUUUUUUAAGUCUGAUGUGAAAGCCUUCGGCUCAACCGAAGAAGUGCAUCGGAAACUGGGAAACUUGAGUGCAGAAGAGGACAGUGGAACUCCAUGUGUAGCGGUGAAAUGCGUAGAUAUAUGGAAGAACACCAGUGGCGAAGGCGGCUGUCUGGUCUGUAACUGACGCUGAGGCUCGAAAGUAUGGGUAGCAAACAGGAUUAGGAUACCCUGGUAGUCCAUACCGUAAACGAUGAAUGCUAAGUGUUGAGGUUUCGCCUUCAGUGCUGCAGCUAACGCAUUAAGCAUUCCGCCUGGGGAGUACGGCCGCAAGGCUGAAACUCAAAGGAAUUGACGGGGGCCCGCACAAGCGGUGGAGCAUGUGGUUUAAUUCGAAGCUACGCGAAGAACCUUACCAGGUCUUGACAUACUAUGCAAAUCUAAGAGAUUAGACGUUCCC